rnacentral:rRNA from 1 species
GGGUUGUGAGGUUAAGCGACUAAGCGUACACGGUGGAUGCCCUGGCAGUCAGAGGCGAUGAAGGACGUGCUAAUCUGCGAUAAGCGUCGGUAAGGUGAUAUGAACCGUUAUAACCGGCGAUUUCCGAAUGGGGAAACCCAGUGUGAUUCGUCACACUAUCAUUAACUGAAUCCAUAGGUUAAUGAGGCGAACCGGGGGAACUGAAACAUCUAAGUACCCCGAGGAAAAGAAAUCAACCGAGAUUCCCCCAGUAGCGGCGAGCGAACGGGGAGGAGCCCAGAGCCUGAAUCAGUAUGUGUGUUAGUGGAAGCGUCUGGAAAGGCGCGCGAUACAGGGUGACAGCCCCGUACACAAAAAUGCACAUGCUGUGAGCUCGAUGAGUAGGGCGGGACACGUGGUAUCCUGUCUGAAUAUGGGGGGACCAUCCUCCAAGGCUAAAUACUCCUGACUGACCGAUAGUGAACCAGUACCGUGAGGGAAAGGCGAAAAGAACCCCGGCGAGGGGAGUGAAAAAGAACCUGAAACCGUGUACGUACAAGCAGUGGGAGCACGCUUAGGCGUGUGACUGCGUACCUUUUGUAUAAUGGGUCAGCGACUUAUAUUCUGUAGCAAGGUUAACCGAAUAGGGGAGCCGAAGGGAAACCGAGUCUUAACUGGGCGUUAAGUUGCAGGGUAUAGACCCGAAACCCGGUGAUCUAGCCAUGGGCAGGUUGAAGGUUGGGUAACACUAACUGGAGGACCGAACCGACUAAUGUUGAAAAAUUAGCGGAUGACUUGUGGCUGGGGGUGAAAGGCCAAUCAAACCGGGAGAUAGCUGGUUCUCCCCGAAAGCUAUUUAGGUAGCGCCUCGUGAAUUCAUCUCCGGGGGUAGAGCACUGUUUCGGCAAGGGGGUCAUCCCGACUUACCAACCCGAUGCAAACUGCGAAUACCGGAGAAUGUUAUCACGGGAGACACACGGCGGGUGCUAACGUCCGUCGUGAAGAGGGAAACAACCCAGACCGCCAGCUAAGGUCCCAAAGUCAUGGUUAAGUGGGAAACGAUGUGGGAAGGCCCAGACAGCCAGGAUGUUGGCUUAGAAGCAGCCAUCAUUUAAAGAAAGCGUAAUAGCUCACUGGUCGAGUCGGCCUGCGCGGAAGAUGUAACGGGGCUAAACCAUGCACCGAAGCUGCGGCAGCGACGCUUAUGCGUUGUUGGGUAGGGGAGCGUUCUGUAAGCCUGUGAAGGUGUGCUGUGAGGCAUGCUGGAGGUAUCAGAAGUGCGAAUGCUGACAUAAGUAACGAUAAAGCGGGUGAAAAGCCCGCUCGCCGGAAGACCAAGGGUUCCUGUCCAACGUUAAUCGGGGCAGGGUGAGUCGACCCCUAAGGCGAGGCCGAAAGGCGUAGUCGAUGGGAAACAGGUUAAUAUUCCUGUACUUGGUGUUACUGCGAAGGGGGGACGGAGAAGGCUAUGUUGGCCGGGCGACGGUUGUCCCGGUUUAAGCGUGUAGGCUGGUUUUCCAGGCAAAUCCGGAAAAUCAAGGCUGAGGCGUGAUGACGAGGCACUACGGUGCUGAAGCAACAAAUGCCCUGCUUCCAGGAAAAGCCUCUAAGCAUCAGGUAACAUCAAAUCGUACCCCAAACCGACACAGGUGGUCAGGUAGAGAAUACCAAGGCGCUUGAGAGAACUCGGGUGAAGGAACUAGGCAAAAUGGUGCCGUAACUUCGGGAGAAGGCACGCUGAUAUGUAGGUGAAGUCCCUCGCGGAUGGAGCUGAAAUCAGUCGAAGAUACCAGCUGGCUGCAACUGUUUAUUAAAAACACAGCACUGUGCAAACACGAAAGUGGACGUAUACGGUGUGACGCCUGCCCGGUGCCGGAAGGUUAAUUGAUGGGGUCAGCGCAAGCGAAGCUCUUGAUCGAAGCCCCGGUAAACGGCGGCCGUAACUAUAACGGUCCUAAGGUAGCGAAAUUCCUUGUCGGGUAAGUUCCGACCUGCACGAAUGGCGUAAUGAUGGCCAGGCUGUCUCCACCCGAGACUCAGUGAAAUUGAACUCGCUGUGAAGAUGCAGUGUACCCGCGGCAAGACGGAAAGACCCCGUGAACCUUUACUAUAGCUUGACACUGAACAUUGAGCCUUGAUGUGUAGGAUAGGUGGGAGGCUUUGAAGUGUGGACGCCAGUCUGCAUGGAGCCGACCUUGAAAUACCACCCUUUAAUGUUUGAUGUUCUAACGUUGACCCGUAAUCCGGGUUGCGGACAGUGUCUGGUGGGUAGUUUGACUGGGGCGGUCUCCUCCUAAAGAGUAACGGAGGAGCACGAAGGUUGGCUAAUCCUGGUCGGACAUCAGGAGGUUAGUGCAAUGGCAUAAGCCAGCUUGACUGCGAGCGUGACGGCGCGAGCAGGUGCGAAAGCAGGUCAUAGUGAUCCGGUGGUUCUGAAUGGAAGGGCCAUCGCUCAACGGAUAAAAGGUACUCCGGGGAUAACAGGCUGAUACCGCCCAAGAGUUCAUAUCGACGGCGGUGUUUGGCACCUCGAUGUCGGCUCAUCACAUCCUGGGGCUGAAGUAGGUCCCAAGGGUAUGGCUGUUCGCCAUUUAAAGUGGUACGCGAGCUGGGUUUAGAACGUCGUGAGACAGUUCGGUCCCUAUCUGCCGUGGGCGCUGGAGAACUGAGGGGGGCUGCUCCUAGUACGAGAGGACCGGAGUGGACGCAUCACUGGUGUUCGGGUUGUCAUGCCAAUGGCACUGCCCGGUAGCUAAAUGCGGAAGAGAUAAGUGCUGAAAGCAUCUAAGCACGAAACUUGCCCCGAGAUGAGUUCUCCCUGACCCUUUAAGGGUCCUGAAGGAACGUUGAAGACGACGACGUUGAUAGGCCGGGUGUGUAAGCGCAGCGAUGCGUUGAGCUAACCGGUACUAAUGAACCGUGAGGCUUAACCUUACAACGCCGAAGGUGUUU